rnacentral:rRNA from 1 species
AUGCCAUCACAUAUUAGUGAUACUCACAUUGCUCUUAUUCCUAAGAAAUUGGUCUCAAAAAUCCCUUCUGACUAUCGACCUAUCAGCCUUUCCAAUGUCAUUUAUAAGAUCAUUUCCAAAACCUUGGCCAACAGAUUGAAGCCUCACCUUCCUGGCUAUAUUGAUCCUUCCCAACAAGCCUUCAUUAAAGGUAGACGCAUAUCCAAUAAUAUCAUCUUAGCCCAAGAGAUCACUCACACUUUUGCCCUUAAAUCUUGGAAACAACAAGCGUUCUUGCUUAAAAUUGAUUUGGCCAAGGCUUUUGAUCGCCUUGAAUGGAACUUCAUAGUCUCUGCUCUUUCUCGCAAAGGGUUGCAUGGUCACUUUAUAAACUUGGUUUAUGCUUGCAUCUCUUCCCCAAGUUUCUCUGUUAUUAUCAAUGGUCAGCCUUUCGCCAACUUUCGUAGUAACAAAGGCUUAAGACAAGGAUGUCCUUUAUUGCCUUAUCUUUUUGUCCUUGCUAUUAAUGAACUUUCUUUAAGCUUACAUGAUGCUAUGGUCCAAAAUUGCUUGUCUGGGAUCUCUCUUGGUCCAAACUGUCCUCCUAUUCACUCCAUGCUUUUUGCUGAUGAUUUGUUGGUUUGUGGCAAUGCUACGGUGCAGGAGGCUAACCAGAUGGCCAAUCUCAUCAACCGUUUCUGC